GUUGGGGGAGGAUACUCCCGAGGCUAGACCUGUGAGGAGAACGGCCGGGCCCUGUGAUUGAGUCUCUCUACCUUCCGCACGUAAAGCCGCACUCUGUUUAAUAGUUCAGUUAGAGUGGGAUGGGGCUGGGCCCUAUCAGUCCAGGCCAUGAGGACCCUGUUACCCUAGUUGCCAUAAAUAUUUAUCUAGUGGAGAUGGGAGGUUUGGGGGAAAGUGGGCAAGCACCAGGAGUCGACAGAGGCUGACCAUCAGGGAAUCGGUCUCUUUGGCGUGUGCAUAGAAUGUGGAUGGCGAGGAGUUCUGAGCUGCUGGCAUAACUGCUUUACAAUGUUGUGUUAGUUUCUGCUGUAAAACAAGCAUCUCUUACGUCAGUAAUUGUUAAAAUCUGGGCUGCACUGAGACAAAGUUUUCACUUCGUCCUUGACAAAAAUGAGAAAAACUUUAGAAGAAGGUUGCCAGUGCUCCUUUCUUGGGAAGAAUUGUUCUAUUUUCUGAGAUAAUGCUUUUCUGCAAUGGUGGGUGAUGCAUUCUGCAUUUCAGAAAGAAGGUCACAGGCUGAUAACUUCAGGAACACAAGACCCAGUUGCUGAGUUGCCCGAUGACAACUGUGGCUGUUUUGAAAUGUUGCAAAAGAAAAAGAAAACGCAAGACCUUCAAGAGGAUAUAAAACCUCUCCCUAUUCCCGAGAAAGGGGGGCAUAGUUCUUGAGACGCUAGCCUGCUGUGUUUCCCUUGUGCCUGGCAAAAAUAAUAAAGCUAUUCUUUUCUACUUCC